AGGAUCAUUAUCGAAUAAACUUGAACAGGCUGUUGCUGGUCCUCCUUGGGGAAUAUGUGCACGCUUGUCUCAUCUUUGUUAUUUCUCCCACUUUGUGCACCUUUUGUAGGCUCUUGGAGCUUUGUGGAUUUUUUUGAAUUCCGAGUCGGGACUGCUGUGCUUUCAAAGUCAGCUUUGCCUUGAAUCUCCAGGUCUAUGUCAUUUUUUCAUAACCUCAAAUGUUUAGAAUGUUGGAAAUAAAUAAAUAUACAACUUUCAGCAACGGAUCUCUUGGCUCUCGCAUCGAUGAAGAACGCAGCGAAAUGCGAUAAGUAAUGUGAAUUGCAGAAUUCAGUGAAUCAUCGAAUCUUUGAACGCAUCUUGCGCUCCUUGGUAUUCCGAGGAGCAUGCCUGUUUGAGUGUCAUUAAAACUUCUCUUCAACCACAUCUUUGAUGUUGGCUUGGUGGAUUGUGGGGGUUGCUGGCUGGCUUCUUUGAUUGAAGGUCGGCUCCCCUGAAAUGUAUUAGCGGUAUCUGAGGCUAUUUACCAUUUAGGUGUGAUAAUUAUCUAUGCCUUCUUGGAUAGCCGCAUUUGAACAGAUUGCACUGCUUCCAAAAAACAACAAUUUUGAUAAAAUUGACCUCAAAUCAGGUAGGACUACCCGCUGAACUUAAGCAUAUCAAUAAGCGGAGGAAAAGAAACUAACAAGGAUUCCCCUAGUAACUGCGAGUGAAGCGGGAAAAGCUCAAAUUUGAAAUCUGGCGGUUCUUGAACUGUCCGAGUUGUAAUCUAGAGAAGUGUUACCUGUGCUGGACCAUGUACAAGUCUCCUGGAAUGGAGCAUCACAGAGGGUGAGAAUCCCGUCUUUGACAUGGACUGCCUGUACGAUGAGGUGCGCUCUCGAAGAGUCGAGUUGUUUGGGAAUGCAGCUCAAAAUGGGUGGUAAAUGCCAUCUAAAGCUAAAUAUUGGCGAGAGACCGAUAGCGAACAAGUACCGUGAGGGAAAGAUGAAAAGAACUUUGGAAAGAGAGUUAAACAGUACGUGAAAUUGCUGAAAGGGAAACGCUUGAAGUCAGUCGCGUCGGCUAGAAAUCAGCCUUGCUUUUGCUUGGUGUACUUUCUGGUUUGACGGGUCAGCAUCAAUUUUGACCAUCGGAUAAAGUCGUUGGGAAUGUGGCAUCUUAGGAUGUGUUAUAGCCCAUUGUCGCAUACGGUGAUUGGGAUUGAGGAACUCAGCACGCCCGCAAGGGCCGGGUCUU
rnacentral:rRNA from 1 species